AGUUCCAGGAGGAGGGCGCAUGGGGUGAGCUCAGGGCAGAAGGCUUUUGUUCCAAAGCCCCUCUGACCUGAACGCACACACUCACAGCGUGCCCUGUAUCUGGCUCAGAAGCCGUCGCUCCGAAGAAGAGCAGCCUUCAGACUACCAAGCAGAGUAAUUCCUCAGAAUUGUCCCACGUUGUCCUAGAGAAGUCGUCUUUAUAGGCAUGGAGUAGGGUGUCUGCAGGCCUCCAGUCAAUUCCAACCGAUUUCAACUGCCAAAGUUAAAAGUUGCCAUUGCAGUUACUGUCGGACCAAAGUAACCCCUGAGAACUCUCCACAUUUGUAAAACGGACUGAAAGGUUCAGUGGCGUUUCCCACCUGGAACAGGACUAGUAAUGCUUUGAACGUGAAGAGAUGACUGUCCCCUGUGAGGAACUGUCGUGGGAAUGAGGCGAUAGGACUGGUUGAAGGAAAUGCUAAGAAGCUCUCUCCUUUGUGGACUGAGGGACCAGCUUCAACACCAGAGGGGUGCAAUCCCAGCAGAAAAGGAACACUGUCUCUAAUGUUGCAACAAAGUAACCAGCAUGAAGUUAGCAAGAAGAAAUCACGGUUGCAGCUGCUGAACACUGAUCCCUACCUGCUUUAAACUUAGAUCCAGAACGGAGCCGGCACAGUGACUUACGUCACUCCCACUGGCUUAAGAGAACAGAGAAUGACAUAUAGACAAGAUGCUACCUCCCAUGGAAAGGCCCCUAUACAUAAAGUCACUUUAUUUCUCUGUCACUUCCCUGAAAAUAAUUUAUGUAAUUAUGCUGUUAAUGAAGUCUAACAACUCAAGGUUUGUUUAUUGACUAUUACUUAAUGCUACCAAAGCAUGUGUGAAUACCCUCCCACAAGAUGGCACCUGUUGAUUCUCCUUCAUAGUAAAGAUAAGAGAUUCCAACCACUCCCUCUCCUAUGCCCACUCCCAGAUAUGUGUAAUUUCUUCCCACUCCUUCCAGUCUCAGAAGGGGUAAGAUGAACUGAGAAGGGACCCUAUUUGUACAAAUAGGUUUCAGGAUGUUGUCAUAUGUGCUUCCUGGGACUCUGUGGUAAUAAGAGCUGUUUUAAGGUCACUCAUGCAUAAACCCCCAUCCACGAUUUGAUAAAUAAACCCACCGUCCAACCAAUCAAAAAUGCUAAAGUAGGGAGAAAUUGUUCUUCCUUUUUGUUGAUGCCAGUGCCCUAGCCAAGGUGAAUAGACGUUUGUUCAAGCUGUUGCUGUAAAAGAUACUGUGAUGUUCAUUUGUAAAUAUCAUCAGAGUUACUCCUACAGGUCGACUCUCUGUGUAAGACACUAAAAAUGGAUAAUACUCAUCAAGUUUCUCAUGUGUCCAUUAA
rnacentral:lncRNA from 1 species